GAUGAACGCUAGCUACAGGCUUAACACAUGCAAGUCGCGGGGCAGCAUGGGGGUUGCUUGCAAUCCCCGAUGGCGACCGGCGCACGGGUGAGUAACGCGUAUCCGACCUGCCCUUCACCACGGGAUAACCCGGCGAAAGUCGGACUAAUACCGUAUGUUGUCCAUUGACGGCAUCCGAUUUGGACGAAAGGUUUGGCGGUGAAGGAUGGGGAUGCGUCCGAUUAGCUGGACGGCGGGGUGACGGCCCACCGUGGCGACGAUCGGUAGGGGUUCUGAGAGGAAGGUCCCCCACACUGGAACUGAGACACGGUCCAGACUCCUACGGGAGGCAGCAGUGAGGAAGAUUGGUCAAUGGGCGUAAGCCUGAACCAGCCAAGUAGCGUGCAGGAUGACGGCCCUAUGAGUGGUAAACUGCUUUUAUGCGGGGAUAAAGUGGCCCACGUGUGGGUUUUUGCAGGUACCGCAUGAAUAAGGACCGGCUAAUUCCGUG
rnacentral:rRNA from 1 species